rnacentral:rRNA from 1 species
AGCGAACGCUGGCGGCAGGCCUAACACAUGCAAGUCGAGCGCCCAGCAAUGGGAGCGGCAGACGGGUGAGUAACGCGUGGGGAUCUACCCAUUGGUACGGAAUAACCCAGGGAAACUUGGACUAAUACCGUAUGUGCCCUUCGGGGGAAAGAUUUAUCGCCAAUGGAUGAACCCGCGUCGGAUUAGCUAGUUGGUGAGGUAAAGGCUCACCAAGGCGACGAUCCGUAGCUGGUCUGAGAGGAUGAUCAGCCACACUGGGACUGAGACACGGCCCAGACUCCUACGGGAGGCAGCAGUGGGGAAUAUUGGACAAUGGGCGCAAGCCUGAUCCAGCCAUGCCGCGUGAGUGAUGAAGGCCUUAGGGUUGUAAAGCUCUUUCGCCGGUGAAGAUAAUGACGGUAACCGGAGAAGAAGCCCCGGCUAACUUCGUGCCAGCAGCCGCAGUAAGAC